AGGGCUUUUGCGCCAGAAACUCUCCGUUUUCUCUCUUCUGCCAUUGCUUGAAGCUUCUGAAGCAGCUCUUGCGAGUGCAAUUUUGUGAAGAAAGCUGUUAUUCCUCUCGAGUUUUUCCAUAUUUUACGUACAAUAGGCAAUGGCAACUGAAGAAGACUCCGUCGAACAAGUUGCUGCAGCACGUCAAGAGAGAUUGAGAGCUCUAAGAACUGCUCAGGAAUUGUUAAACGCUCCAGAUGAGAAAACUUCUGGAGGAGAGGAUCAAGAGAAUGGCACUGCCGCAGAUACCGAAGAAACUAAUCUUGGUAUGAAAUUUCGGAACUAUGUUCCUCAUGACAAGGAGCUCCAAGAGGGUAAGCUUGCCCCGCCUGUAUUGCCUAAGUUUGAGGACCCUGUUGCUACUGAACCUCCACAAUUAAAAGAGGACCCAUUUGUGAAUAUUGCUCCAAAAAAACCAAACUGGGACCUCAGAAGGGACGUGCAGAAGAAGCUUGAUAAGCUUGAAAGACGUACUCAGAAAGCAUUAUAUAAGCUUAUGGAGGAACAGGAAAAGCAGAAGCAGUCAGCUGAAGGAGAUGAUGACCAAAAUGGUACAGAGGGAUAGUAUGCCACACGAGUCUUGAGCUCUCAAAUGUUACAGUCCGAUAUGCUAUGAAAAGUAUAUCAUUGAAGAAAACUGGGCGUUACUUGGCUCAUAGGUUAGACGUUUGCAAACGUUUCACGGUUCGUUGCAUAUGUUGUGUUGGGGCAGCAACCAAUUUCCAGAUGACUUCAGAUGGAAAUACAAGGAAGCUGGAAUUCAUCUGGCUUCAGGGCAAGGGCAAAAUCGGGCAACGUUGGUGCAGUUUCAACGAUUCUGUAAUUGGUUAAUUGGUUAAUUUACAAUGCAAAAUGAUGGCUUGGUUUCUUUUAACUAAAAAAGAGGUAAAAUGAAGUUUUUCUGUUCAACGGAAACUUACUUUUGGAAAGAGUACAAGUCGCGGUUUAUCCGUACUUUACUUGAAGCA